ACCACAACAACCAUUCCCCCUACGACCGCAACAACCAUUUCCCCAGCAACCCCAACAAUCACAACAAUCAUUUCCCCAGCCCCAACCCCAGCAACCCCAACAACCAUCCAUCCUUCAACCACAACAACCAUUACCCCAACAACCACAACAACCAUUUCAACAGCCCCAACAACAAUUAUCCCAGCAACCAGAACAAACAAUUUCCCAGCAACCCCAACAACCAUUCCCCCAGCAACCACACCAACCUCAACAACCAUAUCCACAACAACAACCAUAUGGGAGUAGUCUUACAAGCAUCGGUGGCCAAUGA
rnacentral:rRNA from 1 species